rnacentral:tRNA from 1 species
AGGGUUAUAGUUAAUUAUAACAUUUGGGUUGCAUUCAAAAAUAUUGAUAUAUCAAUUAACCUUU